GAUGAACGCUGGCGGCGUGCCUAACACAUGCAAGUCGAGCGGACAGAUGAGGAGCUUGUUCCUCUGUCGUUAGCGGCUGGCGGGCGAGUAACGCGUGGAUAACCCACUUAUAUGUCUGGGAUAACCACGGGAAACCGGAUCAAAUACCAGAUAAUAUACUGAACCGCAUGGUUCACUAGAGAAUGACGGCUUUGCUGUCUCUUAUAGAUGCAUCCGCGCCGCAUUAGCUAGUUGGUAAGGUAACGGCUUACCAAGGCUACGAUGCGUAGCCGACCUGACAGGGUGAUCGCCCACACGGGAAGUGAGCCACGGUCCAGACUCCUACGGGAGGCAGCAGUAGGGAAUCUGCGGCAGUGGGCGAAAGUCUGACAGAGCGAGACCGCGUGUGUGAUGGAGGUCUUGGGAUCGUAAAGCCCUGUUUUUGGGGGAGAACAGAUGUGGACGUAACCGUGCACGGCUUGACGGUACCGAAUCAGGAAGCAACGGCUAACUACGUG
rnacentral:rRNA from 1 species